UGGGGGAUAUUGCACAAUGGGCGAAAGCCUGAUGCAGCGACGCCGCGUGGGGGAUGAAGGCUUUCGGGUUGUAAACCUCUUUCGCUAUCGAACAAGGCCCGCUUAGGGUGGGUUGAGGGUAGGUGGAGAAGAAGCGCCGGCUAACUACGUGCCAGCAGCCGCGGUAAUACGUAGGGCGCGAGCGUUGUCCGGAAUUAUUGGGCGUAAAGGGCUUGUAGGCGGCUUGUUGCGCCUGCUGUGAAAACGCGGGGCUUAACUUCGCGCGUGCAGUGGGUACGGGCAGGCUUGAGUGUGGUAGAGGUGACUGGAAUUCCAGGUGUAGCGGUGGAAUGCGCAGAUAUCUGGAGGAACACCGAUGGCGAAGUCAGGUCACUGGGCCAUUACUGACGCUGAGGAGCGAAAGCAUGGGUAGCGAACAGG
rnacentral:rRNA from 1 species